UAAUGGUGAUAAUGAUGAUGAUGAUGAUGAUGAUCAAUGAUGAUGGUGGUGAUGAUAAUGAUCAUGAUGAUCAUGAUCGUGAUGAUGAUCACGAUGG